rnacentral:rRNA from 1 species
AGUGAACGCUGGCGGUAGGCCUAACACAUGCAAGUCGAACGGCAGCACAGGAGAGCUUGCUCUCUGGGUGGCGAGUGGCGGACGGGUGAGGAAUACAUCGGAAUCUACUUUUUCGUGGGGGAUAACGUAGGGAAACUUACGCUAAUACCGCAUACGACCUACGGGUGAAAGCAGGGGACCUUCGGGCCUUGCGCGAUUGAAUGAGCCGAUGUCGGAUUAGCUAGUUGGCGGGGUAAAGGCCCACCAAGGCGACGAUCCGUAGCUGGUCUGCACAGAUGAUCAGCCACACUGGAACGGAGACACGGUCCAGAGGAGUACGGGAGGACGCAGUGGGGAAUAGUGGACAAUGGGCGCAAGCCUGAUCCAGCCAGACCGCGUGGGUGAAGAAGGCAGGCGGGUUGUAAAGCCCGUGGGUUGGGAAAGAAAUCCAGCUGGCGAAGACCCGGUUGGGAGGACGGUACCCAAAGAAUAAGCACCGGCGAACUUCGUGCCAGCCGCCGCGGUAA